rnacentral:rRNA from 1 species
CCUACGAGAGGCAGCAGUAGGGAAUCUUCCACAAUGGGCGAAAGCCUGAUGGAGCAACGCCGCGUGGGUGAAGAAGGUCUUCGGAUCGUAAAACCCUGUUGUUAGAGAAGAAAGUGCGUGAGAGUAACUGUUCACGUUUCGACGGUAUCUAACAAGAAAGACACGGGUAACUACGUGCAAGCAGCCGCGGUAAUACGUAGGAUGCACGCGUUAUCCGGCUUUAUUGGGCGUAAAGGGAACGCAGGCGGUCUUUUAAGUCUGAGGUGAAAGCCUUCGUCCUAACCGGAGUAGUGCAUUGGAAACUGGGAGACUUGAGUGCAACAGAGUGGAGUGGAACUCCAUGUGUAGCGGUGAAAUGCGUAGUUAUAUGGAAGAACACCAGUGGCGAAAGCGGCUCUCUGGUCUGAACUGACGCUGAGGUUCGAAAGCGUGGGUAGCAAACAGGAUUAGAUACCCGUGUAGUC